UCUUGUAGUAGUACAACUCCACCGGAUACGCCAGUCCGAAUCCGCGCACCGGGCGACACGUGGUUCCGCACACGACACUAUAUUACAGGGGGCGCCCGCAAUUUAUUUACACGAAUAUUUUUUACCGAGGAAUAUUAUUUUUACCGAACUGGUGUUUUUACCAUUAGCCAACCCCCCCGGACAAGUACACUGUUGUUUGAGACCGCGUGAAAAAAAAAAGAAAUUCGUCGAUUGUAUUUUUUUUUUUUUUUUUUAUAUAUAAAUAAGUUUUCGUGUACAUUUUUUUUUAUCGUGCGUACGUGACAAUUUCUUUUUUUUUUUUGAAAAUUUUAUUGUUUUUUUUCAAUUGUUAGUUUUAAUCAUCGAUAAUCAAUAUUAUAUAUUACAAUUGUUUUUUUUUUUUCGCCAUAAUUUUUGUAAAACGAACGAUUUAAAUAAAACAUAAUUAUAAUCGUCCCCAGUGGAGUUAUUUAUUAUUAUAUUUUUCGAUUUUUAUUUGUGUGUGUGAGUGAUUGUGUUUUUCUUAAAUGUAUAAUAAAUGGUAUUUGAAUUUUUAAAACAAAAAUUAUUUAUUUGAACACCGUUGUUAAUUUGUUAUUUAUUAUUACUCUGUCGUUAUUCUCUGGAAACGGUUUCGCAAUAAUCCGUACAAGGAUUGACCAACGACCGUCAUGAACCGCUUCCGAGCAAUUGUUACUGUCGCAGUUGUAUGGCUGUUGCUGUUACAGGUCGGCGAGUUUGCAAGUGAACUCAGAGGCUAUGCAGAAAGUUGUGUAAACGAAGGAGAGAUUGUCAAUGUGCUCACAAUCAAGAACAUGAUGUGCUACACUUGCAUGUGUAAAAAUGGAUUUGUUGAAUGUGUAAAGGAUCAAUGUCCAGACGAACAGGGAUGCUAUAUGUUACAAGAUGUUUUUGUCGACACCAAAGGCUGUUGUCGUCGUUGUAAAGGGUGCAUGUACAAAGGUAUUCUCAGGGAUAGUGGUACGGAAUGGACUGAUCCAGACGACCCAUGUAUGUUGAUGUCAUGUAAAGCGGGUGUAGUCACAGAGACUCGAAUGCAAUGUAUAACACCGUGCGCUAACCCACAUCCACCUAAACCGGGCACUUGUUGUCCCACUUGUCCAGGUUGCCAAGUUAUCGGACAAGAAGUGGCCGCAUUGAGGAACGUCAGCUUAUAUGACGACCCAUGUCUUACCUGUCACUGCGAGCAAUCCGCGGCUGGUCCAACACUUACAUGUUCAAAAAAGGCGUGCCCUGUGCUCCAAUGUCCAUCAAACAGCAUGCAGAUUUUACCGGGUGAAUGCUGUCCUAGAUGUGUGGGUAAAAGCAGAAAGUUGAUGGAUCCACCAAGAGGAGCGUGCUUGUUAGGUGAUAAAAUUACACCCUCUGGACAAGAAACUCAUCCAGAUCGUUGUACACAAUGUAUGUGUACCAAUUCAACAGUAAUUUGCAAGCGAGAAACUUGUCCACCAUUAGAUUGUCCAGUUGAAAAACAAAUUUUUUCUUCUCACAAUAAAUGCUGUUCACAGUGCCCUGACACUUUAGAUAAAGGUGAUACGUGCAAAGACAACGGAAAAAUUUAUUUGAAUGGUGAAAGCUGGAAAGUAGAUGAAUGCAAAUCGUGUGUUUGUGUUCGUGGACAAGUACAAUGCGCCCAAGAAAUUUGUCCUCCGAUAACAUCAUCUUGUCCAGCAAAUAUGAAGCGUCGGACUGUCCCAGGCUCAUGUUGUUCUGAAUGUGUGCAUAUGGAUGGCGUUUGCACAGUAUUUGGUGACCCACAUUACAGAACCUACGAUGGAAAAUUCUUUAGCUUCCAAGGGCCGUGCAAGUAUUUGUUGAGUGCUGAUUGCAUUGGAAAAUCGUUUAGUAUUCGUGUAACUAAUGACGCAAGAAGUACUAAACAUUCGGCAUGGACAAAAACAAUAUCAUUGAGGACCGGAGGUUUAAAAGUCAAUCUCGGCGAAAACAAACGAAUCAAAAUCAACGGUCAGAGAGUGAGUGUACCUUACAAAAGGAGCAAUGAACUUACAAUAUCAAACAUGAACGAUACUGUGUUGGUGGAAACUAGAAUAGGAGUUUCAAUUAUUUGGGACGGACGAGGUUUCCUUGAAGUUUCAGUACCAUUCAGAUAUAAAGGCAGUUUGUGUGGAUUGUGCGGUAACUUUAAUUCCGUGCCAAGGGAUGACAUGACCACUAAGGACGGCCAAAUAGUUUUGGAUCCUCAAGUGUUCGGAUCGUCGUGGCGCGUUGGCGGAAAGAACGCAUGUAGCCGGUCGUUGAAACCAGCGAUAUCACAAGCGUCCCCGUGUUCCAGGAAAGGACCUAGGAUUCGAGAACGUAUGUGUAAGCCUCUCCGACAACGUAUGUUUGCUGCGUGUCACAAAAAGCUAAAUCCAGUUAACUUUUUCAAGUCUUGUCUGACUGACAUGUGCGAAUGUCCUACCGGUAGGAAGUGUUAUUGCGAGGCGAUGACUGCGUACGCGCACAAUUGUCGCCGCCUAGGAGUUUCACUCCCGGAUUGGAGGACUAUGACCGGAUGCCACACAUACUGACCCAUACCAUCUCAUUUGCCUCGUGUAGAGACCACUUAUUUGUUAUUGCUAGUCAUUGUUUUUAUACAUUUAAACAUUUGCGGCAACAUGCCGUGCACUCAAUUGACCGUUUGAUUGAUAUGAUCAAAAUAAGGAAUAAAAAAUUGUAUUGAUAUAUUACUUUUGUCAUCGUUGAUCGAUGAUACUCUGGACGACUUUUGAAAACGGAGCAGUAUUUAAGCAGCACAGCCUCAUUUUGUUUUAAAACAAAACAAAUUAUUAGUUAUAUUAUUUAUUUAUUUUGUUUUUUGUAUAAAUGGUUCAUGACUAUAGAAAACUUGCCCAGCGACCUACCCGUUUGAUUGUACACGUACCUUUAGCCCUUGCUGAUGUUUUUUUUAAUUUAUUUAUAAUUUACUAAUUUAUUUAUUUUUUUUGUGUUCAUCAAACGGGUCGGCCGUAGAAGUUUUAUUUCCUCCUACCCAAAGUCCUCUCCAAACAUAAUAAUAUUUGUGCGUUUUAUUACGAUCGUAAAACAAUUACCGAGUAAUUUCGCAGCCCACUCAUGCUGUUAUGACUUUAUUUAUUUAUUUAUUAUUAAUAAUAAUAUGAAGACUUUUGCGUACGCGCCUGAGAGAUCCAACUCCUCACCAGGUGCGUAUACGCAUGACGUAUGUUUUGUUCCGUUGCGUUGUCGCUUUUUGUGUGAACAUUAAGCAACCCUUCGAGACAGAAAGAAUAACGUUCUUUCCAAAAUCGUCUGUUCAUUCUAAGUAAGAUUUAGUCGCGCACUGAAAAACAUACCAAUUGAUGUGUUUUACUUUUUUGCCCGAGAAAAUUAAAGAUAUACAAAAUAUUUAAAAAAGUUAGAUCGUAAUAUAAAUUUACUAAAUUAUUACAUUAUAUAUAUACAUAUAUAGAUUUAUGGAUAAAAAAAUUACCAUUUAGAGGAAAUUUAUUUAUGAUAGAAAAUAAUAAGAGUAUUUUAACUAUUUAAGCAAAAUGUGUAAUAUAAAAUAUUAAUUUUUGAAAUUUAUGUUCCUACCUUUGUGUUUAUUUAUGAUUAUUUUA